GGGCCUGCACAAGCGGUGGAGUAUGUGGCUUAAUUCGAUGCAACGCGAAGAACCUUACCUGGCCUUGACAUGCAUCUCUAAGCGUGUGAAAGCACGUGACCCCUCGGGGAAUUUGCACAGGUGCUGCAUGGCUGUCGUCAGCUCGUGUCGUGAGAUGUUGGGUUAAGUCCCGCAACGAGCGCAACCCUUGUGUCCUGUUGCCACUUCCGCUAGCGCGGAAAGCACUCUGGACAGACUGCCUCGUCUCAACGAGGAGGAAGGUGGGGAUGACGUCAAGUCAGUAUGGCCCUUACGGCCAGGGCUGCACACGUACUACAAUGCUACGGACAAAGGGCAGCAAACUCGCGAGAGCUAGCA
rnacentral:rRNA from 1 species